UUUCUUUGGACCAUUUGCUUGGAAAAUUAUUUUCCAGCCUUUCACUCUGAGGUAGUGUCUGUCUUAGUCCCUAAGGUGAGUUUCCUGGAAGCAGCAAAAUGUUGGGUCCUGUUUAUGUUGUCAGUCUGUUAGUCUAUGUCUUUUAAUUGUGGAAUUGAGUCCAUUGAUGUUAAGAGAUAUUAAUGAAAGUAAUUGUUGCUUCCUGUUAUUUUUGUUGUUAAAGUUGGGAUUCUGUUCUUGAGGCUGUCUUCUUUUAGGUUUGCUGAAGGAUUACUUUCUUGAUUCUCCUAGUGCAUCGUUUUCUUUCUUGUGUUGGUGUUUUCCCUUUAUUAUCCUUUGAAAGGCUGGGUUCAUGAAAAGAUAUUGUGUGAAUUUGUUUUUGUCAUGCAAAUACUUUCGUUUCUCCAUCUAUGGUAAUUGAGAGUUUUGCUUGGUAUAGUAGCCUGGGCUGGCAUUUGUGUUCUCUUGGGGUCUGUACAACAUCUAUCCAGGAUAUGCUGGCUUUCACAGUCUCUGGUGAGAAGUCUGGGGUAAUUCUAGUAAGUAUGCCUUUAUAUGUCACAUGACAUUUUUUCCCUUACUGCUUUUAAUAUUCUGUCUUUAUUUAGUGCAUUUGUCGUUCUGAUUAUUAUGUGUCAGGAAGAAUUUCUUUUCUGGUCCAGUCUAUUUGGAGUUCUGUAGGUUUCUUGUAGGUUCAUGGCCAUCUCUUUCUUUAGGUUAGGGAAUUUUUUUCUAUAAUUUUUUGAAGAUAUUUACUGGCCCUUUAAGUUGAAAAUCUUCAUUCUCAUCUAUACCCAUUAUCCUUAUGUUUGGUCUUCUCAUUGUGUCCUGGAUUUCCUGGAUGUUUUGAGUUAGGAUCUUUUUGCAUUUUGCAUUUUCUUUUAUUGUUGUAUCAUAUUUUCAAUGGAAUAUUCUGCACCUGAGAUUCUCUCUUCCAUCUCUUGUAUUCUGUUGCUGAUGCUCGCAUCUACGGCUCCUAAUUUCUUUUCUAGGUUUUCUAUCUCCAGAGUUGUCUCCCUUUGGGUUUUCCUCAUAGUUUCUAUUUCCAUUUUUAGAUCUUGGAUGGUUUUGUUCAAUUCCAUCACCUGUUUGGUUGUGUUUCUUGUAAUUCUUUAAGGGAUUUUUGUGUUUCCUCUUUUAGGACUUUUACCUGUUUAACAGUGUUUUCCUGUAAUUCUUUGAUGGAUUUUGUGCUUCCUCUUUAAGGACUUCUACCUGUUUAGCAGUAUUCUCCUGCAUUUCUUUAAGUGAGUUAUUAAUGCCCUUCCUAAAACUCUCUACCUGCAUCAUGAGAUAUGAUUUUAAAUCUGAAUCUUGCUUUUCAGGUGUGUUGGGGUAUCCAGAACUCGCUGUGGUGGGAGUACUGGGUUCUGAUAAUGCCGAGUGAUCUUGGUUUCUGUUAAUACGAUUCUUAUGUUUGCCUUUUGCCAUCUGGUCGUCUCUGGUGUUAGAUGUUCUAGCUGCCUCUGGCUAGAGCUUGUUCCUCCUUUGAUUCUGUUAGCAGCUGUCAGCACUCCUGGUAGUCCAACUCUCUCCUGAAUCCCAGUGGUCAGAGCACUCUCUGCAGGUAAGCUCUCCUCUUGCAGGGAAGUUGCACAGAGCUCUGGGGCUCAGCUCAGCCUCCUGGUGGAAGAUGAAGGCCUGAAGCAACCCUGUCCAAGAAGCUCUGUUGCUUCUGCGACCCGUGUGCUCUCCUGUGAAGAUUGGUCUCUGAAAGACCUGGAAUACAAGAUGGGGCUCUCACCUGAGUCCCAGAGUCAAAGCCCUCUCUGGAGGCCAACUCUUCUCAGUGAUCCUAUGAUCCUGGGAGUUCUAGGGUGCUUGAGGUGUGGAGAGUCCUUUGGGGACCAUGGGAUCAUCCGCUGAGUUCGUGCCCGAAGUGGCCUGGGGCUGGCGCUAAUGAGAAGGCAUGAUCAAUUCUAUAACUACCUUUAAUAAGUAUUAUUUUAAUGUCAGUUUUUGCUUCUCUUCUAAAUUUAUUGUAUCAUAUUAAAGGAGGAAUUAUUCUUAGUUUAUGUUUUGUGGAAAGAAUGCUUUUAUUGGGUGAAUAGAUUUAAAUGAAUCAAAUUUUAAGAAUUCUUGAACUAGAAAACAUUGUUUCUACUUUUAGUUUAUAUCCCUAAGUUAAGUUCACAUAUUAAACUUGUUGAACAUUCUCUAAAUGAAAUGUGUGGAUGUAAGGAAAUGUCUUUUUAAAGAAAUUGAAUAGUAUUAUGAAAAAUAUUUGGUUAUAUAUUUAGAAAGUUUCCCUCCUUCUUAGGCUUAUUUCAAAAGUUGAAGUCUUGAAUGACUGGAAACUGAUUGGGCGCUCACCAGGAAAACCACUGGAAAAGGAGUCAAACUCAGAUCUUCAGGCAUCUUGCUGGCUCUAAGGUUCUUCUUUUUCAAUAUCCACUGUGUUGCUGACAGAAAGCAUGAAAUCGAACUUGAUUGUGCUGGGCAUGCUGCAUGUUCACACAGACGCC